CGGUUCCGCACUAACGCCCAAUCCUCUCUCUGCUACCAUCAGCCCACCAUCGUCAAUCAAGUCCCCUCCCUCUGCUCUUCCUCCUUCGAGGAGAUCGAAAACUAGUCCAAAUCAAUUCAUGGGUUUUGCAUGACCAAUCCUCCAUAACCCGAAAGAUCUCUCGUUUCAAUUGAUUCAAUUCGAUUGUCGAAAUGGCAACAGCUCCAGAGCAGCCCCAUGAGGUCCUCCCCUGGCUGAGAGCUCUCCCAGUAGCUCCGGAGUACCACCCAACCUGGGCCGAGUUCCAAGAUCCGAUUGCCUACAUUUUCAAGAUCGAGAAAGAAGCUUCCCAGUAUGGCAUCUGCAAAAUCGUGCCACCUGUCCCUCCGGCGCCGAAGAAGACCGCAAUUGCUAACCCCAAAUCCCGAUUCGAAGGUUAUAUUUUUAAUCUCCAUAUCUGUUACUGUUAUUUGAGAUGCUCUUUUGUUUGAAAAAUACCGAUUCUAGUUUAUACUGGUUAAUGCUUGAACUUGUUGCAGGGAACUGCUUGCGACUUCGAUAAGACAAGCAACAGACGCAAAGUGACUCAGAUUAUCGUCUCAGGUCUCACAAGAUAUUGUUGGCAAUGUGGAGGUGACAAUAUCACUUUGGAGUUGGUUUUGUGUGUGCAUUAUCUACCAUUGGGAUAUCACACUUGUCAGCAUUAAGGGCAAUGGGGGUUUUAAAAGUCUUGAGCUUGGUCUGUUUAACUGUAGCACUGGUCCUAUCACUUAUAUUUGGAGAUUGAAUUCCUUGAAGCUCUAGAACUCCAUGGUCAGGCAUGGCAAAAGAUAUGCAUGGCAUUGGCAUUCCAAGUCCAGCAUAUACUUCUGCAUUUUGGUCUAAACUCACUUCUCUAAGUAUGGCUACUGAAAGAGUUCUUAUUGCAACCAAUACAUUAGUAAUCCAAGAUGAAGUCUUUUCCCAUAGAUUGGGUCUCAUUCCAAUCAAGGCUGACUCGAGAUUGUUUGAAUUUACAGAACACUCGGAGGAUUUUGGGCCUUCGAAUCACUGAGCUUCCCUCCCUAUUUUGCAACAACAUCAGAUUUUACAUUCUUUUGCUGUAUACCCAAGUACUUAAUGGAAAUCCUGGUGAGGCUGACCCAAAUAACACAACAUUGUGCGCAGAGUAGAAUGGGCGAGUAGUGGGAUCAUGAGUG